AGCAGCCGCGGUAAUUCCAGCUCCAAUAGCGUAUAUUAAAGUUGUUGCAGUUAAAAAGCUCGUAGUUGAAUUUCGGGAUUAGUACGUUGGUCGUGCCUUAGGUACGUACUGGUGUUACUGGUUCCUACCUUCUGACGAACCAUCAUGUCAUUAAUUUGGUGUGGCGGGGAAUCAGGACUGUUACUUUGAAAAAUUAGAGUGUUUAAAGCAGGCUCGCGCUUGAAUACAUUAGCAUGGAAUAAUGAAAUAGGACGUUGACCCUAUUUUGUUGGUUUCUAGGAUUGACGUAAUGAUUAAUAGGGAUAGUUGGGGGCAUUAGUAUUCAAUUGUCAGAGGUGAAAUUCUUGGAUUUAUUGAAGGCUAACUACUGCGAAAGCAUUUGCCAAGGAUGUUUUCAUUAAUCAAGAACGAAAGUUAGGGGAUCGAAGACGAUCAGAUACCGUCGUAGUCUUAACCAUAAACUAUGCCGACUAGGGAUCGGAUGAUGUUAAUUUUUAAUGACUCA
rnacentral:rRNA from 1 species